rnacentral:rRNA from 1 species
GACGAACGCUGGCGGCGUGCUUAACACAUGCAAGUCGAACGAAGAGCGAUGGACGCUUGCUUCUAUCAAUCUUAGUGGCGAACGGGUGAGUAACGCGUAAUCAACCUGCCCUUCAGAGGGGGACAACAGUUGGAAACGACUGCUAAUACCGCAUACGAUCUAAUCUCGGCAUCGAGGAUAGAUGAAAGGUGGCCUCUACAUGUAAGCUAUCACUGAGGGAGGGGAUUGCGUCUGAUUAGCUAGUUGGAGGGGUAACGGCCCACCAAGGCGAUGAUCAGUAGCCGGUCUGAGAGGAUGAACGGCCACAUUGGGACUGAGACACGGCCCAGACUCCUACGGGAGGCAGCAGUGGGGAAUCUUCCGCAAUGGACGAAAGUCUGACGGAGCAACGCCGCGUGGGGGAUGGAGGCCUUCGGGUUGUGAACCUCUUUCGCUCAUGGUCAAGCCGCAACAAUGGUUGUGGUGAGGGUAGUGGGUAAAGAAGCGCCGGCUAACUACGUG